GAAAGGAAAUUUAUAUGAAAUUCAUAUUUGUCCAUUGUGCAUAUAGCUAGCUAAAACAAAAGGCACCAAAAAUCAAAUUAGUGGACAGCCUAUGCCCACUUGUUAUCAUAAUUUAUACAUGAUUGCAUCCACUUACAAUAUAAGAAGAAUAAUAGGGUUCUUCUUUGGAUAGUAGAAACCUAAAAAGAAAUGUUAAGCCUUGCCAGUAUACAAGUUUUAACUUGUGAAAAGUUUUCACUUUACAAUCCUCUACAACUAUUCUCUCAUUGAUCCAUAUAUUCCAGCAAUCAUAAAAAAUACGUCUCCGAAGAUGAUUAAAUUGAGUUCUGAUUGAACUUCUGGAGGUCUUAACAGUUUCAUGAUUAGGAUUCUACAAUGAAAAUGGUUUAUGUGCCACUGGAAGUCUUAAGACAUCAGGGAAACAAAAGAAAAAAGUUGUUAAGCAACACAGCCCUAAGUUAGCAGAAAAGAAGGACACUAAACUUGGC
rnacentral:misc_RNA from 1 species